rnacentral:rRNA from 1 species
UUAAGUCCCGCAACGAGCGCAACCCUCGCCUCUAGUUGCCAGCAUUCGGUUGGGCACUCUAGAGGGACUGCCGGCGACAAGUCGGAGGAAGGUGGGGAUGACGUCAAAUCAUCAUGCCCCUUAUGACCUGGGCUACACACGUGCUACAAUGGGCGGUACAAAGGGCUGCGAACCCGCGAGGGGGAGCGAAUCCCAAAAAGCCGCUCUCAGUUCGGAUUGCAGGCUGCAACUCGCCUGCAUGAAGCCGGAAUCGCUAGUAAUCGCGGAUCAGCAUGCCGCGGUGAAUACGUUCCCGGGCCUU